ACCACAGUUCUCCAUCUACUAUAACUGAAUGUUUUGAUGAGUAUAAAAGGAUAUAGUAGUCUAUGCUGGCAUCUGUGAUCUCUUUGGAUCUAUGGAACAUCUUUCCAGGUCCUUCUGGCUUUUAGAGUCUCCAUUGAGAGGUGGAUUUGAUUUUAGUUACUUCAAACACCCAAGCCCUUCCCAUCCUCAGUUCAAAUAAACCAUCUAUGCAUCAGGCUGGUUCCCCAGAAACAAAUGGCAAGAAUUGGAUAUCUGUGCAAGUGACAUCCAAGGAUAAGUAAGGCUGACUUUGAUUUGGCGGUCUCAGUGUGUAGCACGAGUUAACUUCCCACUUACAGUGACGAUCCUGUGUCUGCCCUCAGAGCUGUGGGGUACAAGUAAAAAGUGCAAAAGAAAGGCCCAUCACUGACCCACCUAAUGAACUCAUCUGUCCACUGUGUCCAUUGCUUCCUGUGAUUCAGAGGCUGAAAAAAAUGACAAUGAACCAGCAAUAUAUAAAAUUUGUAUCUGUUGUAAUAUUUUAAUGUUAUGAUGCAAUCCAAUUAUAUCUCUCAGGCAUAGAACUGUUUUGGGUGUUACUUGCUAAAUUUAUCACACCAAAGUUUAAAUGGAAAAUAGUAGU